UAAGUGACGCAUAAUCAUAGAUUUCAAGCAUAAGAAAUUCAAAACAAUAUUUCCAUGAAUGCAUGAAUGUUCCCUCAUUCCCAAGGAAAUCCCCAUACACAUGUACCAUCAUUACUAAAGUGAAAGGACAAAGAUUUUCCACAAUAAAAGUGACAGGAUGCAAGACUUUCGAGUAAGUUUCCAACUUUCUUACCAGAAUAUCGAGAAAAGAUAUUCAUGUUCUUUAUUUUAUUUAUUUAUUUAUUUUCUAAAAAGGAAAAUAUUUAUGUCACCCACUAAUCUAGGUUUUUUCACACCAACAUUCCCAGGACAGGUUCUUCUUUUGAUAUAUGUAUGUGAUCAAUCUGCCCAAUGCCUACAGCUAUUAAAUAUGAUUGAUAUGUUCUCAGCAUUAUUCACUAACAUAAUGCAUAAUGACAAUCUUCAUCAGGCUACAAUCUUCACGAGGCAAAUAAAAUACUUAAAGAUAUUCUGAUGUAAGAGAAUCUAUUUUCGGUUUUUCAUUUUCAAAGAAAACUUGUUUGACAACUACUUUCAGUUUUUAAUUUUUAAAGAAAUAAAAACUAAAAACUAGUUUUUUGAGCUUUCAAAAUUUGUAUCUUCAGUUUUUUAAUUUUAGUUUCUAAUCAACACCAUGACACAAGCCAUCAAGUAACAAAACCAGUAAAAAGUCAACUGAAAACAUUAUAUGUCGAAAAGAACAAUGAAUUACAUGAAAUAAGAACACCAAAAUAACCGCAGAAUCAACCUAUUACGUAUUGUCACACCAUAAAAUUAAAAUACAAUGAGAAGUGGCGACAAAUUUGAACCGCACCGCUAUAAUGUUGCCGUGUAAUGUAAAUCUCCCUCAAAGAAGCAACAAGGAAAUCCCUAUGCAAUAGCCUUCCACUUUCCAAUACUCGUUCAAGAGGAAAAGCUGAAAGGACAAGUAUCUUCCACAUGAAUAGUGGAAGACCGACUCUGGGAAAUUUCCAGGAAGCAAGAUUUCUGAAGAAGAAGAAGCUCAGAAAUCGAAGCUUUCAAAUCAUGAGUCGUGGAAGGUCGUCUUUUACAAGUCGGACAAGCUUUUGGAUCAGACAAGUGUCACACAUCCCUUCCCCAUCACAAAGUUCUUAGAGUUGCUGGCUACUGUAAUGAUGGGUUUCUUUUUUGCUUCUUUGGAUUUGCUUUGAAUACUUGAAUCUCAAUUGGAUUUUUUAUCCUUACAAUUAGUUCGUAGGAAUAUGGUAGCCCUCAUGUUCUUUUACUGUUCAAUAGAGCAUUAGUUAAAGUAGUGAUGUUUCUGUCCAUACAGUUGGUAGUGCGAAAUGAAAAUUGUCCUCUUAAUUUGUUGCAGCCGCCAUGUCCUCUGAAAGACGACACUCAUGUAAGAGCAAGAGGCUAUGGAGCUACCGACGAAUUAUAGUCACAAUCUAGCUGAAAUUCUUGAGAGAUGAGUUUUUCUCCGUCUUCCUCUUUGGUCAUCAAAGGACUUUCUUUUCACGGGCCCACUUCAGAUCGAAUAGAUGGAAGCUACUAACCCAUCUCUUGGAAGGACAAGAAAAAGCAGAUUUCAAAGAAAAAGCAAAGGAUUGUACAGCCACUGCUGCGAAGGUACAUACAAUGUGAUGUUAAAUUUACCCAAUUUUUCGAUUUGGAUUUAGUUCAGAGUUUUUGGGUUUUUGACUUAGUUAAAGUAGUGAUCUUUGUGUCCGUACAGUUAUAGUGGGAAAUGAAAAAUGUCUUGUUAAUUUGUUACACAGCAAGGCAUUGGCAUAUGCAUGAAGGUUUAUGGUAUUUGUAUGAUUUAAACACACCCACAUGGUUUGGUUAUGUUGUGUUGUGUGUAAACUCAGUUAGCUGAUUAAAUUAAAACUGAAGAGUUGUGAAAUUUGAGAUGCAUAGCAGCCUAAGUCCACAAAUAAGUUGCGGCACUAAUUCAAUAAAGUUCCUUGACCACCACCCAGCCCUAACUUAAGGCUGAUAACCCUUGAAUCUCAAAUAGUAUAUCACCAUGUAUAGCCGAUACGUCAUAUUUGAAGAUUACCACAUAAUCUAUAACCUAAAAAGUUAGAAGAAAGUAAUAGAUAAGGUGUAAUGAAUAGCAUCGUGUAUAUAUUUUUCCUCCCAUAAGCAGCUUUUGUGGAAUUUCAUUCAUUUUGUACAUGAUUAACACCAGUCGUUAUUUAAUUUCACAACAUACCCGAAUGCAAUUCAAAGUUUGGAAUUUGAUAUAUAUUGAUGUGGGAAUUCAAAGCUUUUUCAGUGUUUAGUUUGUUUAUAUAUUUGAAGGAGUUAAUGUUGGAUGCAAAGAUCAUAUACCCAGUAGGGAUGGACAUGACAUUCUUCGCAGGGGCGAAGACAAACAAAAACUUUAUUAAUUUUUUUUGUUUCAACAGUAUUUUUUUUUUUAUAAUAAAUAUAAAGGUCCACAGUACAAACAGUAUUUUUUUUUAUAAUCAAGUUGAUAGUUCAUCACCAGGCUGUUGUACGGUACAUGGCAAAUUAUGAGGCCAAGAAGGAAAUUACUUCGUUUCAAGCACUGAAGCUGAAGAAUAAGAAGAAGGGAUUUUGGUUAUGGUUUUUCUGUGUUAGUGCUAGAUUUAUGUAUAAUAUUUCAGAUUCUCUAAGGAAGAAGAAUUGGAAUUGAAACUUUGGCUUUUGGAUUUUCUGGGGAGAGCAAAGAAUAUCGGAUGAAAUGAUAUAUCUUCUUUCACACAAUGAUGGUUGGUCUGAGACCGGUUAGCAAGAUAUAAUCUUAACCGU